AUUACUAAUGUAGCAACGGUGGUUCAGUGGUAGAAUGCUCGCCUGCCACGCGGGCGGCCCGGGUUCGAUUCCCGGCCGUUGCAAAUA
rnacentral:tRNA from 1 species